UUGAACAGCUGUUGCACUGAAAGGUUCAGGAUGUGUCUGGUCCUACAUGAAUUUGGACACAUCUGCUUUGCAUGCGGCAUUGCAAUUUGUUUCUCAGAUCAACUUAUUUUGGGUUGUAGUUUGGAAAGAUCCCAGAGGCUCUGGGGUAUGUCCGCCAAGCUCUUCAGCUUCAAGGUGACGAUGCCAACUCCCUGCACCUCCUUGCCCUCCUGCUGUCAGCACAGAAGCAUUACCAUGACGCUCUGAACAUCAUCGACAUGGCCCUGAGUGAAUACCCAGAAAAUUUCAUACUACUGUUUUCCAAAGUGAAGUUGCAGUCACUCUGCCGAGGCCCGGACGAGGCACUGCUGACUUGUAAGCACAUGCUGCAGAUAUGGAAAUCCUGCUACAACCUCACCAACCCCAGUGAUUCUGGACGUGGGAGCAGCCUCUUAGAUAGAACCAUUGCUGACAGACGACAGCUUAAUACAAUUACUUUGCCAGACUUCAGCGAUCCCGAGACAGGCAACUCUCCAGAAGCAUACUUUCAUGGUUUUCCUUCCCUUUUUUCAGUUAGCUCCGUCCAUGCCACAUCGGUAGCAGCCUCAAGAGUGGAGCAGGCACUGUCGGAAGUGGCUUCGUCUCUGCAGAGCAGUGCCCCUAAGCAGGGCCCGCUGCACCCCUGGAUGACGCUGGCACAGAUCUGGCUCCAUGCAGCUGAAGUCUAUAUCGGCAUCGGGAAGCCUGCAGAAGCCACAGCCUGUACCCAAGAAGCUGCCAACCUCUUCCCAAUGUCCCACAACGUCCUCUACAUGCGCGGCCAGAUUGCUGAGCUCCGGGGAAGCAUGGACGAGGCGCGGCGGUGGUAUGAAGAGGCCUUAGCCAUCAGCCCCACCCACGUGAAGAGCAUGCAGCGACUGGCCCUGAUCCUUCACCAGCUGGGCCGCUACAGUCUGGCGGAGAAGAUCCUCCGGGAUGCGGUGCAGGUGAACUCGACCGCCCACGAGGUCUGGAACGGGCUGGGCGAGGUCCUCCAAGCUCAGGGCAACGAUGCGGCGGCCACGGAGUGCUUCCUGACAGCCUUGGAGCUGGAGGCCAGCAGCCCCGCCGUGCCCUUCACCAUCAUCCCCCGCGUGCUCUGAGCAGGCGCCUGCCAGCCUCACCUGCCGCUCAGGCCUCAGAGGCCCUGCCGGGCACCAGGGCUUGUGCCAUCGCCCCGAGGGGAUGAAUCUGCCGCACUGAGGCCAGGGACGAGUGUUUAGUGGGCCACAGUGAACCAACCAAACCAACCCCGAAUCAUCGCUCUCGCCAUAUGCGUUUCUCUUGUUUUUUUUUGCCAGCCCAAUGAUAGUUUCUGAACCUAUUGACAUUGUUCAAAAUGGAUCAUGUGCCAUAUUUUGUUAGUUGACAUCUGAGUUUUCAGUAAAAUGAUUAUGGAAUUAAUCAGCAAAUGUAGAAGAAUAUAUUCAAAGUUAAAAUUCAGUGGCAGCACAGAUUAUUUUUAUCAGAGCUGUAAAGAAAACAACUGUCCUCUUCUCCCCACCACCCCUCCUGCCCCGCCUUGGCCCAGAAACCAAAUGUGAACUUCGUCUCCCACCUCAGCACUAGUCCAUGCCAGGACACCAGCUGACAAUUUCUUGGUUUUACUGUCAAUAAUUGUACCAUGUGAUCAAUUACUGUCCUCACUUAGAACAAAGCCUGAGUCCGAGAAUAUUUAUAUUUUACCAAUAUAUGCCUGUUACAAGAGAAGGAAAUAUGAGUUAUUUAAGUUUAACUUUUUUAUGUGAAUUCAGAGUUUAUUUAUCGAGGGAAAUAUGUACAAAGAAGCUUCAAAUGGAAUAUUUACCGACAUUCCUUAUACAUGACA
rnacentral:sRNA from 1 species